rnacentral:rRNA from 1 species
UGGGGAAUAUUUCACAAUGGAGGGAACUCUGAUGCAGCGACGCCGCGUGAGUGAUGAAGGACUUCGUUUCGUAAAACUCUGUUCUAUGGGAAGAAAAGGACUGUACCAUAGGAGAAAGCUCCGGCUAAAUACGUGCCAGCAGCCGCGGUAAUACGUAUGGAGCGAGCGUUGUCCGGAAUUAUUGGGCGUAAAGGGUGCGCAGGCGGCUUUACAAGUUGGAUGUGAAAUAUUGUGGCUCAACCACAAACGUGCAUCCAAAACUGCAAAGCUUGAGUUAAGGAGAGGUAAGUGGAAUUCCUGGUGUAGCGGUGGAAUGCGUAGAUAUCAGGAGGAAUACCGGUGGCGAAGGCGACUUACUGGACUUAAACUGACGCUCAGGCACGAAAGCGUGGGGAGCAAACAGG